rnacentral:rRNA from 1 species
AUUCCAGCUCCAAUAGCGUAUAUUAAAGUUGUUGCAGUUAAAAAGCUCGUAGUUGGACUUCUGAUUCGAAAGAUCGGUCCGCCGCAAGGCGAGCACUGAUUCUUCGAGUCUUCCUCUCGUAGUUGUUUGGCGCACUUGAUUGGGUGCCAGAUGAAUAUGGGACCUUUACUUUGAAAAAAUUAGAGUGUUCAAAGCAGGCAAUCGCUUGAAUACAUUAGCAUGGAAUAAUAGAAUAGGACUUUGGUUCUAUUUUGUUGGUUUCUAGGACCGAGGUAAUGAUUAAUAGGGACAGUUGGGGGCAUUAGUAUUUAAUUGUCAGAGGUGAAAUUCUUGGAUUUAUGAAAGACUAACUACUGCGAAAGCAUUUGCCAAGGAUGUUUUCAUUA